UGGCUCUUACAGUGCCUGUGGCUGGGUCUGUUCGCUGGACGCCGGCCAGGGAUGCUUCCGCCAGACCGCUGUGAGGGUCUUGGGUUGUGGCAGAGGGAUGGCGAAUGUGCAGGUGGCCGUGAGGGUCCGGCCUCUCAGCAAGCGGGAGACCAAAGAAGGGGGAAGAAUUAUUGUGGAAGUUGAUGACAAAGUUGCAAAAAUCAGGAAUGUAAAGGUGGACAGUCGAUCAGAGAGCUUUGGAGACACCCGGGAGAAGGUUGUGGCAUUUGGUUUUGAUUACUGCUAUUGGUCAGUCAACCCAGAGGACCCUCACUAUGCAUCUCAGGAAGUGGUGUUCCGGGACUUGGGGACUGUAGUACUGUCUGGAGCCGACAAAGGCUACAACAUAUGUCUCUUUGCGUAUGGGCAGACAGGCUCUGGGAAGACGUACACCAUGCUGGGGACUCCAGCCUCUGUUGGGCUAACUCCGAGGAUAUGUGAGGGUCUCUUCAUCAGGGAGGAUGACUGUGCCUCGAUGCCUUAUUCCCGUAGCAUAAAAGUAAGCUUCCUAGAAAUCUACAAUGAACGAGUGAGAGAUCUUCUGAAGCAAUCCAAUCAAAAUAAGUCUUAUACUUUAAGGGUCAGGGAGCAUCCAGAGAUGGGACCCUAUGUCCAAGGUCUGUCUCAGCAUGUUGUUACCAACUAUCAGCAAGUUAUCCAGCUCCUGGAGGAGGGGAUAGCAAACAGGAUAACAGCAGCCACCCAUGUUCAUGAGGCCAGCAGCAGGUCCCACGCCAUCUUCACUAUCCACUACACACAGGCAAUCCUACAGAACAACCUCCCUUCAGAGACUGCCAGCAAGAUCAAUCUUGUGGACCUAGCAGGCAGUGAGAGAGCGGAUCCCAGUGACUGUAAGGACCGGAUUACUGAAGGCGCCAAUAUCAACAAGUCCCUUGUGACUCUGGGAAUUGUAAUCUCCACUUUAGCCCAGAACUCACAAGUGUUCAGCAGCUGCCAGAGCCUCAGUAGUGCAGCCAGCAGUGGGGGUGACAGUGGGAUUCCUAGCACCAUGUCUGGGACCAGCAGCGGAGGGGGACCUACAAGGAGGCAGUCUUACAUCCCGUACCGGGACUCUGUGCUGACCUGGCUGCUGAAGGAGAGCCUUGGAGGCAACUCCAAAACCAUCAUGAUUGCCACUGUGUCCCCUGCACAUACCAGCUACAGUGAGACCAUGAGUACAAUGAGAUACGCAUCCAAUGCCAAAAACAUCAUCAACAAGCCACGGGUGAAUGAGGAUGCGAAUGUGAAGCUAAUCCGAGAACUCAGGGAGGAGAUUGAGAGGUUGAAAGCCAUGCUGCUGAACUUUGAACUGAGGAACUUGAGUUCACUAAAUGAUGAUCCGAGCGAGAGCCUGCAGGAGCUAGUCUUCCAGAAUAAUUUGAAGAUAGAUACACCGACUCAACACUGGACUCAGAAGCAGAGUGACCGGCAGGCACUCAUGGAGCAUUAUGGUGUGGACAUCAACAGGAAGAGGGCCAGGGUGGUCAUUGACUCCAGCCUGCCACACCUGAUGGCUUUGGAGGAUGAUGUGCUCAGCACAGGCGUCGUGCUUUAUCACCUCAAGGAGGGGACAACAAAAAUAGGAAGGAUUGAUUCAGACCAGGAGCAGGAUAUCGUCCUUCAGGGCCAGUGGAUUGAGAGAGACCACUGCACAAUCACUAGCACUUGCGGGGUGGUUAUUCUCCGGCCUAGCCAAGGGGCACGCUGUACAGUCAAUGGUCGUGAGGUCACUGCUUCCUGCCGUUUGACACAAGGAGCUGUCAUAACACUGGGAAAAGCACAGAAAUUCCGGUUUAACCACCCAGCCGAGGCCGCUGUGCUGCGGCACCAGAGGCUCAAGGUUGGAGAGGCUCUUGGCAGCAGUGGCUCUUUGGAAUGGCUGGACUUGGAUGGAGAUGUCAGUGCCUCAAGACUGGGUCUCUGCCCUGUGCUCAGGAAGGAGAGGAGAGUACUGGAAGAGCAGUGUGACAAGGACCAGCAGCCAUCAAGAAAUAUCGAGAUAUAUUACAGAGCUCAGACUGAGCAACAGCAGUGCCAUGUGGAGGCUCUGAAGCAGCAAGCCAAAGAAGGACAGAGUAGAGGCCAGGAGGAGCUAGAACUGGACCAGACACAUAUCCACCGGCAGAUAAAAGACAAUCAGCAGUGGCUACUCAGAGAAGAGACCUGGUUAGCCAGCUUACGAGAGACACAGCAAGAAGCUGACUGUGGAGAAGAGAAAGAACUUGAGGCCUUUGUGGCACCUGAUGCUUGGCUUCCAACAGUUCCUCAGACUCCACCAUCCCCACUGGUCCAAAGCCAGAAGAGGGUGGUGCAGCCCCAGUGCUUGCGGAGACAUACUUCUCGGGCCACAGUGUGGAACAUCAGGCAGAAAAAGUUAUCAUUCCAGCUGGAGAGAAUUAUUAAGAAGCGGAGGCUGCUGGAGGCCCAGAGGAGACUGGAGCAGCUCAGUGCCCUCUUCCGGAUCCAGGAUGAUGGUGCUUCCAAGGCCCCACGUUCUAACACCUCAGGCCCAGGACCUCAGUGGAGAAGCAGAUGGCCAACUUGCUGCUCUCUGAGUCUCCAAAGGCUCGGCAGCCAACGCCUGCCCCAGCUACACAGUGCUUUCAUGAACUGGGAUCCUUCUGCCAUGUCACCACCUGUGCCUGACCUGACUCACCAAAUGCCAAAGAAAACCCUGUCAACAGAUGCCAUUCGACAGGCUACAGCUUGUCCUCCACAGACAGGACACCUGGGCAGGAACAGCCUCCAUUCAUCACGGUGGAGGAAGUUCUCUCCAGCCAGGAGAGCUUCUACCCAAGGCACCUGUCGCACUGUGAGCCACAAAUUUGUCAGCAGCCAAGAAAUUGAGUUAUUGGGUAAGCAGCUCUGUCAGAUGUCAUCCCAGGGCCAACCAACUAAGAAACAAAAACCAAGGGAUGGUUCAAGGACCUUUACCCCUGCUGCUCAGACCAGAAGGGCUAAGGGACUAGUAGCCUCUGUCAACACACAAACGGGAUGGCAAAAAGGAGGAAGCUGUAGGAGCUGCGAGGCUCCUGAGGAAACAUCUUCCCGUUCUACAGAUCGCAGUGGAUCAGAGCCAGCAGCUGGGCAUAGAAAAGUAGUCAAGACUUUUCAGGCAGAAUUCAAACCACCUCCUCCAAGCAGGGCAUCAAAAAAGCAUCCGAGGCUGCUGGCAGCCAGGGCCAGGGACAUUGCCAAAAAGUCCUCUCGUUUGCCUCGUGGCAGUUCUUUAAAAAAACAACCUAUUGCAGGGGAUCCAGACACACCAGCCUCCUUCACAGAUUCUAGACCUAUAAAGGACCAUGUAAGGGAAGAGAACAAAGAUUUAUCUGACACUGAAAGCAGUUACUCGGUGGAUUCUCUUUCUUAUAUCUAUGCCAAAGUCCCAAAGAAGCUGCUGAAGCCAGAGGACCGUCAGGGAAAAUGGGAUCUUCCCGAUCCAGAGAACUCUGAAAGUGACAACAGUCAAAUAUCUGAGGAUUCACUUGCUGGGAAAGGGCACCAAAGCCUCCCAGAAAACUCUAGAGCUGAAUAUUCCAUGAAGGACCAUGGGCAUUCAAGGGCCAGAACUUCAGCCUCUGUGCGGGGUCUCCCCAUGCCCUCAGACAGUAGGGUAUGUACUCCAAUGUACAGGAGCUUUUCCUUGGACAGCCUGACUGAUCCUGAAAAUAGGCAAGGGGAGUCUUUUCUUGGUUCUGCUGACGAGAUGCCUACAGAGACUUUUUGGCAUCUGCAGAAGGCUACCCUAUCUGCAUCAGACCAGGAGGCAACAGACAGGCCUAGCCCUAUCAACCACAGAAUGGGAGUCGGGGUGAAUGUUCUGCCAAAAAGCAAUUCAUUUUACCUUGAUCCUCAGUUCCAGCCCCAUUGUGAGCAGCUUGAGUCAGAAAUGGAGGCAAGCUAUUCUGAACAAACCAACCCUCUCCGAGGCAUUCAACUUGCAAGAGAGAGCCCCCUGUUAUCUGUGGAUUCAUGGUUUUCUUGUGACUCUAAGAUCAAUCCCAGCAGCCCCUCAGGGGUCAUUCAUUCUUUAUGUCCAAGUCCUGACAUACAUGAAAUUCAGCCCCAUGGUGAGAAGCCCAAACACUGGCUAAAUAUUGAAGAAGUAAAGCCACCAGUUACCUGCAAACUUCCCCAAAGCAGUACUGAGCCACCCUGCAGUUCAGAUUUGUAUGCAGCCUCUACUUCUGAUACAUCUAAGCCCUCAGUUUGUGAAAGCCAAAGAUUCCUUCAGCCAGGAGUUGAUGGAUUCCUUCAGGGCAGAGAAAUGCCUGACAUGACCAACCAGGGUAUCUCUGAAGAGUCCCACAUUUCUGAUAUGUCAAGUGUGCUGGCUCCCUCUACCACCUCGUUCACUCAUGUACAUAGUCUUAAUAAGAAGGACUGGGCUGCCCUUCAUCAAGAAUAUCUCCUUGAGCUCUCUGAUUCUGUUUUUCAAGCUGUAGGAGAGCCCAGGCCAGCUUUCCCCUUCCUGGAGGAAGACUCUAGCUCCCUGGCUGAUGCUUCUGAUAAAGUAGACACUCAGUUGCGAACUGGCCCUGGGUUAUCUAGAAAUUUAGAUUUCAGCUCCUUUCCAGUCCACCUGUCCAAAAUCAGACACUUAAGAGCAGAGAGAGACCAUGACAGUCUGAGUGCCAAUGUAGAAAGUGCUUCUGAUCUCUUCAGCUCUGUUGAGAGGAUGAGUUAUAAUGGGGCAUACCCAGCAGAUGUAGAGUCACGGACUUCUGGAUCUAUAAAUGCACAGGCCUAUACAGCAGGAAAUGUGAUACCAGGUUCCAUGACAGAAGCAUGGGAAGUCAGUCAGGCCAGCUUGGAAGGAUGCCUUCAGGGUGGCAGACAUUCUGCGCUGAUAACUUCCUCUGGGCAGUAUUUCUUCCAGAAGAGGGCUUAUCGCAAUCAUGACACCUUAGCCACUGAAGUAGACUUUUUACCUCAAGAUGGGGCUCUUCUCAGGAAAAAUACUGCAGUUCAACCAGGACUAUUAAAUCACAGCAGCCACCAGCACCCCCUUCUGGAAGAGAAGGCAACUUCUCAGCAGUGCACUGAGGAAGUAGCUGAAACACACAUAGAUGCCUGUUGCACUUUCCCUUCAGGUCCAGACCUGUUCCUGCACUCUGACCCCUGGAGCUCUUUCCCAUCCUCCCUGCAGCCGCCUCCCCUGGAAACAUUCUAUGUAACCAAAAGCAGGGAUGCCCUGACAGAAACUGCCUUAGAGAUUCCAGCCUGCAGGGAAGCCUGGGUGCCAUCCCCACCCCCUAGGGAAGCCUGGGGCUUUGGUCAUAGCCAUCAAGUCCCCCAGAAAGCUCACUGGAAAAAUAAUUUGCCCAAGUUGUCCCAAAGUCAGAAUUCUAAGAUUGAUUUACCUCAGCAGGCAACAACAAUGAGACCAACAGAUAUGAACACAGGGGAAGGUACUGAAGAACUGGGGAAACACUCCAGAAAUAUGAAAGAGGAAGAAAAUCACGAUUCUGCUUACUGUUUUGUUGCUCAGAACAGGCAGCAUCUCUCUUCUACCAGACUCAAAGCUUGUGAAUGUGGAAAUCAACUUGGAAUUUUAAAUAAGGAGUACAGCCUCUCAGUUCACGAGGAUGGAGAAGGGGCCUCCGCGUGGCAUCACUGCAGUGUUGCCUUCAAUGGCUCUGAGUCAAAGACUUUGCUCUUCAUUUGUGAUUCCAAGGCAAGUGGGGAAGAACAGAGUCCCCUCCUGCCACAGAUACAGUCCUGCCACAGAUACAGUCAGUCUCCUUUUGGAGCUAGGUCUGACUUCAUUGGCAAAAUCUCCAAUUUAGACUUGGAGAAGGUCAUACCAGAGGAAACUGCUGUUUCCUUGAAAUCAAGAUCACUCCACUGUCUAAGUAGCCCUGUGAUCAUGGCAGGAGGUGGAAGUCCUACCCACAGGUGGGAGGGGAGGAAUGAAACUAUGCUUCUCAGAGAAGUGAUUUCCAAAGAUAUCCAAGAAGAGUUUAGUCUUCCAGGAACCCAGUAUACCUGUGAAAGAUGCCAUCUAGUUAUGUGCUCUCAGGAAAGAAAGCCCACUGAAUGCAAGGCCCAUGGGCAGUUACAAGAAAUACAGUCCAAAGAAGAACCUUUGGGAGAGAAACAGAAUAAAAGAGUUAAUAAUACCGAUGAAAUGGCUAGGCUGAUCAGGAGUGUAAUUCAGCUGGAAACUGGCAUCUUAGAAAUUGAAUCCAAGCAGAAUAAGCUUCUUCAUGCUUCCCUCACACCAAGUACAGAGCUUAUGCUCCAGGACUUAGAAGACCAGGAGAAGGCUGACCAUGUCCCCAAGCCAGAAAGUUCUGGAAAACAUUUAUGCUUUGAGGAUCAACCAUCUUUUCCAAAACAGAUAGAGGACGGUAUCUUUGAAGACAGCAAAGCUGGAGAAAUAGAGGGCAACACUGCAGUUAGUAAUAAUACUCAGGUUCAGAAAAUUAUAGGAAGCCCCUUCAGAUCAAGGGAAUGUGUACAAACAAGGGGGUCUGAGAGUGAGCACUCAUACUCACCUGGAGCAGACAGACUUGCUAGGGACACACACAAUUCUUUGGGGAAAGGCACAGCUCUCAGAAAGCCUAGCAACAUUUCCCUUCACUCUAGGAGAAUGAAAGCAUUAGCUAGAGCUCUACCAUUGCAGCCCAGUGUGGAGAGAUCUGAGAAAGAUGAUGAACUUCUAAAAGAAUCAGCAAAAUUCCACAACCAUUGGGCCUUGGAAAGUCUUGAGGAACUGGAGAGUAUGGAAAGUUUUCAGAAAAGCCAGAUUGUUGAAGUUCCAAGUGAUACAGAAUUGGAGGAUGCAAAAACUCAAGGGGGAGUUGAUGAAAUGACCGUGGACAGGGGAGAGAACCUACAGGAAAAAGAGAACAUGGUCUCAUCAACUCAGAAAAUUUCUGCUCCCAGCCAGCACUGGAAGGGCACAUUUUUCAGCCAGGAGGCUGUCUCCCCAUUCCAUACCCAGACAGGCUUCUCUGAAGGUCUUCCUUAUGAAGAGCUGUGUGGUACCCAACCUGUGCAUUCUAUAUACUUCCCAAGAAGCUGUUUGCAUGGCUCUGAUACCAAAGGUGUCUCUUCAUUUGAGUAUAUAUUAGAACCUGUGAUGUUGAAAACUAAUAGAAAUUCUUUGGCAACUGGAGUAGGGGAUCAGGAUCACAGUGGAGAAACCAGAAGCAGUAGCCCACAGGAAAGUGUUUCAGGGGAUGUUUCCACCACACACACUCCCUGGGGUGGAUCUGUAACGCCCAUGGUCAUGAGAACUAAUGGUCAGUCUGUUACAUCAGAUGGCAUUCUCCUAGAGACAGAGGACUGUAUAACAGUAAGCACCAGCUCCCAAGAAGACCAGGAAGGGGGCUUCAGAGAUACUCCCACAGGCUCGACUACCCAGGAAGGUUUGGGUUCUGAGGCUGAGGCAACUGUACAAAAAGAAAGAAAAACCAGUUCCUUGGACAGGGUCUCAAGGCAGACUGAAAAGAGAGUCAAUUUCCUCUUACAAAAAAAUAGAGACCAGGGUGAAGAGGAAAGGCAGAAGGCAGAGGAGAAGUUAGAAGACCAACAACUUCCUGAGUCUGUUUCCUUAACACCGGUGUCUGUACUGAAGGGACCUGAUCCAGAGCCUCUGCUCCUACCAGACUCCUCUAUCCAUGCAUCCAUAUGCCUGGGUAUCUUGGCAGAGAUCAGACAGGCAAAAGCACAGAGGAAGCAGCUUAAUGACGUUGUGGCUGAGGGAACAGUCCUUCCUUAUGAAGCAUCACAAGAAGCUGAGUGUUUUUCAGAGGCUGCUGGUAGAUCUCAGACACAAAAGUUUGAGUGGAAUAGUACCACGAAUGAUGCUAAAGCAAAAGGAUUGCAUGUGGCAUCUCCAUCUGCUGUGUCUGCAGACCUCUUCACUGAUGAGAGGAAACCCCAGGCCAGUGCAGGGAGCUUUCAUCAUCUGCCCAAUCCUGAAACUGACAGAGGACCACAGCAUCAUUUGCUGGCUUCCUCUCACACUGUUUCAGAGCUAGAAAAAAGAUAUUGCACUGGAAAACCAAGACAAUUUUGUGGAGCAAGUGGAUGGUCUGAUUGUUCUGAAGUCAUAGAGAAGAGGAAAGCAACAUCUAGAACAAAGUCCUCAGACAGGCUUCUUCCUAUACCAGCUGUAGAGCAGGAUGGGAGGGUGCGAUCAGAGAAAGCGUCUGUCUUACCUUCUCAAACUUCUUGUGAUAGUCCUGGCAGGACUCUGCACAUGCAGAGUCAGUUGCCUGCAUGGGAGACUACAGAAGGUAUAUCCUUUGGUGGGAAGGACAGCAUCCUGGGUCAUCAGGAACCUAGAAGUCUAGAUAGCACAUGUGGAGGUGGCUCAGGUAAGAGCUUAGUGACCACACAGGCAGGAAAAGCAGUCCAGUCUGAGUGUCAGUCUGUUAUCUGUACUGUUGAUAAUGCUGUAGACCUUUCUCAGCCUAAGCAAGACCGUAUUCAGUGCUUGGAUGCUUCUACUGGCUUAGAAGAAAUGAAGGCAAGUCCAAAGUCAUGUGCUGUUCAGCCUGGAGCUCCAAGAAAGGUUGAAGCAGAAGCUAACAUAUGGCAUCCUGUCAAGUGGAAAACUGUUGACUCUGGUCUGGCAGAAGCCUGUGGGGGUGACAGCAAAAAUCCAUGGUCAACUCCAUUUCUAAAUCAAAGACCAAGCCUGAAUUCCAGUGGAGUUAGAGAAGAGGCUCACGGUCCAUGCCCAGAAGAGUGCCUUGUCUUCAAGGGGAACACUGGAGGCAGCAGGCCACUUGGCUCAUCUUAUGAGGAGGAAGAGAACAGAACUAUUCCUUGCCCUCACCUAAGUGGUUCUCAGCCUACUGCUGCUGUUCAUGCCUGUUGCUCUCAUACCUCUACUCCGCCAUGUUAUAGAGAUGGUGUCCUUAGGAAGGGAACCCCCUGGGCUGCCCCACAUUCUGACCACUCACCUUUCAUAGUACCAUCUAGGGUAUGUGAAGUGGAUGGAGCAGGAAAGAGCUUUUCCAAAGACUCUCAAGUGUCUUUGGCACAUGGCCCUAAGCACACAUGUGGGCCAGUAGACAAUAGCAUUCCUAACCCACCCAUUACAGCUCCUGUCUCCUCUCCAGCUCAAAGCUGCAGCUGCCUUUCCACCUCAGAAAUGAGGGCAAAUUGCCUCACCCACACAAUUGCUAGGGGAAGGUCAGUGGAAGGUUCUGGGGAAGAGACUACAGGGAAGGCCAGCACUGCCCCUGAGGAUGCUUAUCCAUCCAGUUCUGCAGGCGUGAGCUCUGAGCCACUGAGAACUUUGAAGAAUAACUCUGUAGGUGAGAAUGCACAGGCAUCCCAAACCAUGUCGGAACCUCCUGCAGUGACUUGGGGACCACAUACCCUAAAUUCAAAUGAAGAAUCUAUUGACAGUAAGCUGGUGAUAGCAGCUCAGUUUGGACAUUUAGAAAAUACUAUCAGAUGCUGUUCAGAAAAGAUGCAAUCUUCCACUAAGGUCAGGGGUCACAGUUGCUUGGGUCCUCAAGCCAAAUUUGUAGACAUGUUGAAACAUACCUGCUACCCUCAGAUUGAGACUUCAUGGGAAGAGGAAGAACAACAGAGAGACCAGGUCUCAGGAGAUGGCAAAAACCAUUCCCAGGUCAGAAAUCUAGUACUUUCUAACGUUGGUGGCUUUGAUGGCUGUCAGACUAGAGAUGGUGAAAGAGAGGAGAUAGUUGUAACCAAGCCUUCUGUAUCCCAGACUUUGUUUUCAGACUUUGAAGCCCAAACUGAACCAUCACAGUCCUCUGCCCAGACUCCUUGCCAACUUUGCUCUGAUAGGGAACAGCUGCCUCCCAGCCACAGGAACUUGCUUCCUGUGAUUGCAAUCUUCUCUGGCCCCAAACAUGCCAGGGACUCCCCUAGACCUCAGUUUACUGUGGUCAGCUCAUCUCGGUCUCUUCAAGAACUAAAUUUGAGUGUGGAACCUUCUUCCCCAACAGAUGAAGAUGCACAGGGGCCAACCAGCUUGUGGAGACCACAUCUCAGAGGUCAUUCCUCUGAAAAGCCAGUCUCAGCAUCUCUGAAGCCUCAGGAUUGCAGUCAGAGAGCUUUGUGUAACUUGAACAAUAGCUCUUCUGAUCACAGGCCCUUGAACCCUGUCAUACCUCCUUACCCAACGUCUUCCACUGUUUCAUGUAUGCCAACCCCUGAGUUCAUGACCACCUGGAAGCCUGGUGCUUUGGAACAGGCCCAUCAAGGAAAGACAGAUAAACUGAGUGUCCAGGGUAUGUCAGAGAAUUGGCAUUCUCGGGGGGACAAAGAAAUGCUGCACUUUGGUUCUAGUGAAUUAAGUUCCUCUGUCCUGCCCUCAUGUCCACAGGGACCUGUGCAUAUUGGUUGGAAGCAAUAUGUGUUUGGAACUGCAGUUGAUGUCUCUUGUAGCCAGAAACCCCAAUUUCUAAUACAAUCAAACAUGGCUCAGUGUUCUAGCAUGGACAAUGUUGUAGAAGACAAGAAAUCUCCAUUUCACUCUUAUCCCAAGACUGAUGCCCAAACCCAGGAUUUGCCAAACAUACACAGUGACAUUGAGAAUGACCAAAGUUCAAAUCAGCUGCCUCUGGCUAGAGGGAAUGCCACAGCUCAGGUAGAUGAGAUUGUACUACUCUGCCCACCAGAGACAGGCUGUGCUGUGGGGCAGGCCAGUAUGAAUACCUUUAAGCAGGGAACACAGACCCUGGGCAGCAAGCUCCAUCGGAGUUGCACUGAUGUCUCUCUUCAGCCUGAUGCCAGGACAAUGUCAGACUCUGAGCUAGCCUCCUGGACCAGCAUGCACAACCUGUCUGUCCACCUUUCACAGCUUCUGCACAGUACUUCAGAGCUGCUUGGGAGUCUCUCACAGCCAAGUGUGGUCAUAAAGGAACAGAAUGUCAAGAGUGAAUCCCUAGAUGAGGCCCAACAGGCCCUCAUGAUGGAUGGUUGUACUCGGACCACUGUGGAUGAGGGCAUCCAGACAGACCUGGCCUUACCUCCUUUGGCCUUCCAGGGUCCAGAGGUCAAGUCUGAGGAAGUCAGUGUGAUCCUUGAAGUGAUGGACUCAGGUAUUACCACUGUGGCUCAAGAAAAGGAAAAUGUCCCAGUGGUGGUUCAGAAGAGAGAGGCAGAGGAAGCCGCAGAACCCCCAGAUCUCCAUGAAGGAAGCACCCAUGAUAAGCUGCAGCGCCCUCCUGUGCCCUCACCACACUUGAGGUUUCAGAAAGCUGAUCUUGGGCAGAACUUUACUUUCAUGAGGCCCCCAGCUUCUCCUUGUGGUUCCCCACCUCCUAGUCUGCAGCCAGAGGAAGCUUGCAUGGUAGUCAACAUGCCCAGAAUCUCCCACCACUCAGGGCUCUCCCUUGGUGCUUCUGAGUUCACCCAGGAGCCUAGUACCCAGAAAAGAUUGUGUGGCUCGAGUGCUGUGCUGGUGGAUAGGGCUUCCUCUCCAAUCCUUACAUUUAGUGCCAGCAUCCAGGAGCUGAACAAGCCUGUAACCUGUUUGACUCUGUCAGUUCCCUCAGCUCAUCCUCUUGAAGUCUUCCAGAAGCAUGACAUCAAUCCAGACCUGGCUGUUUGUGACCUAAGACCUUCAAUGGAUAAUUCUCAAGCCACUGAUGAUUCUGGUGUCUCUCAGAUAGCUGAGUCUUUGGAAGGCAAGAGCCUCUUAGGAAAAAGUUCUGAGAGAUUAGUUCUUGAUUCUAGCUCCCUGUGCAGCCCACAGCAUAGUUCUAGUCUCCAAGUUAGUUUCUUAGGAAAGGCCCCUCAGCAGCUUCAGCCCAAGAGCACCACUGGAGACCAAAGCAAGUCACCAUCUCCACCACCAAGGCACAGGAGCCCGAAGCUAGAUGACAGCUUUGUGUCUGAGAAGGUGGCUUCCAUAGAGCAUGGUCCACCGAGGCCCAGUGAGUGGCAGGGCAGGGCAGCAAAUAAGGGUGGGAGCUCCGAGUUUAUACUGGAGCCACAACCCAAUGCGGAUCGACCUUCUUCACAGACGGGUCUUCAGCCCCUUAGCCCUUGUCAGAUCUCUGAUACUACACGACUUCAAAGUCCUGCUGUAGACCCACCUCAGGCCUGCCAACCAGUGGGGCUGCUCUCUCCUGGUUUAUAUAUGCAUGUGGCCCCUGAUCCCCAGCAUCACAGCCUUGGGCACCUCCCAGUUCAUAACAAUUUAAAUAACUGGUAUAGAGUUCAGGAUGGCCCUUGCGGAGGUCUGCAUGUAGGUGAGAGUUUAGGGGUCAGAUGUGACUCCAGUUCUGUGGGGACACAAAGGCCCCUGCAACUUUCUGACAAGUACAGCCAGGACUCUGAGUGGCUUCGAUUGGAGCACAUCCCCUUACAAGCUGGGGUUCAGAAGCCCUCACUCAGUGUGGAACUCACAGAAGCAAAACUACACCAUGGCUUUGGGGAGACAGAUGCCCUGUUGAAGGUGCUGCAGAGUGAGACAGGGGAGGUGCUUGCUCCUGAAGAGCCUGCUGUGCCCUCCUGUAAGGAGUUCUACACUAGGCAGAAAAAAACUAUUGAGAUCCUCAGGAGAGAGAGGACUGAGCGACUUCAUAACUUUCGUCGGACACGAAGCCUCAGUCCCCAGAAACAACUAGGCUUCCUGCCUAGCAAGGAUCUCCCCACCUGGGAACUUGACUUGCCCAGCAGACGCCAAGAAUACCUGCAGCUGCUGAGAAAGCAUGUUGUGGAGACCACUAGAAUCCCAGAACCAGCACCAAGAGUAGCCCACCCUUCCUCUGACAUUGAGCUCAUGCUUCAAGAGUAUCAUCAGGCCCGUGAAGAGGCCAAGGUGGAGAUUGCCCAGGCUCGAGAUCGGCUCAAAGAGCGGACUGAACAAGAAAAGAAGAGAAUCCGCCAGCAGAUCAUCUCCCAGCUACUGAAGGAAGAGGAAAAACUACGGACUCUAGCCAACUCCAGCUCUCUGUACACCAGCUCCAAUGGAAGCAUAUCUUCUGGUGUCACGUCUGGUUACAACAGCAGCUUAGCCUUCUCAGGGCACCUCCAGUCCCUAGAAGUUUCGGUAAGUGGGACUCUCAAGUGCCAAAUUCCCAAGAUACUUGGAUAGGGGACUGGCAGGGCCAGUCCACAGUGAGGAACAGUUACCUGUAUUUGACUGGGUCUUCCUGGAAGAGCUUAGCACACAGCCGCAGAGCCUCGAUGGGCAGUGGCUGCUGCUCUCUCUCCAGCCUAUCCAGCUUGGGGACCUGCUUCUCCUCUUUCUAUCAGGACUUAGCCAAACACAUUGUCAAUACAUCAAUGGCUGAUGUAAUGGCUGCUUGUUCGGAUAAUCUCCACAACCUCUUCAUCUGCCGGGCAGCCGAUGGCUGGACCUAUCAGGGUGAGGAGCAAGAGGUACAGCUUUACUACAAGGAGUUCUCUUCUACUCGACAUGGAUUCUUGGGUGCAGGUGUGGUGUUCAAGCCACUCUCUCAAGUAUGGGCAGCUGUGAGUGAUCCUACUUUGUGGCCUCUGUAUCACAAGCCCAUCCAGACAGCAAGGCUACAUCAGCGAGUGACCAGCAGUAUCAGCCUAGUGUACUUGGUGUGCAAUACCACACUGUGUGCGCUGAAGCAGCUGCGAGAUUUCUGCUGUGUCUGCGUGGAAGCCAAAGAGGGGCAUCUAUCAAUCAUGGCAGCUCAGUCUGUGUAUGAUGCAUCCAUGCCAAGACCUAGCAGAAAAAUGGUCCGAGGAGAGAUCCUGCCCAGUGCUUGGGUCCUGCAGCCUGUCAUCAUGGAGGGGAAAGAAAUAACCAGAGUCAUCUUCCUUGUCCAGGUGGAGCUGGGUGCACCAGGCUUCCCUCCCCAUCUUCUGAACUCUGUUAUCAAACAGCAGCCGUUGGUUGUGGCCAAGCUGGCAUCUUUCCUUCGUAGUUAGUAUUGGGCCAUGGAGACAACAAUGCUGAGAUGUAGCCCCAGGACACCUGAGACUCUAUAGCUGCUUCUAGACCCUGAGGCAAGAAGAGCCCGGGCUGCCUGUGGAAGCCAACUAUACAGAUGGCACCAGCCCAGGGUUGCCAGCAAAACCAGUACUUAGUACUUGGUUACCUCCGAAGAGUGAGCAACCUGAAGCUCCUAGCCCUAGCUGUCCGAAGAUGAGAUCAAGUUACCUUCAGGAUUUCUCACCUUUAUUUCCUGCCUCUGGGACUCAGUGUCACACCAAGUGUUCAAAGACUGGAAAAGCACAGCCUGCCCAGCUGGAGCCUGCAGUGCUUUGGCAAGCUGCCUCCUUGGUGGGCAGGCACUGGCCAAAGGUGCUCUGGAUCUGCCUCCAAAAUUCAGCUCCAUUUUAUGAUGGAGUGGCGGAAAGGGCCAAACCAUACAGUUUAAAGAAUCAUCUGCAUAAACCAGAUCCUGAUUCAGAAUUUUCUCUCAUUGAACAUUUACAAACAUUUUACUAUUCAUAUUACUCUCCCCCACUGUGUGUCACUGUGUAUCACUGGUACAGUCUACCUUAUAAGCUCAGUACAAUGGGAGACCACUGAAGAGACAGGGUGCAGGGCCUGAAGACAAAUAGUAAGUAGGGACAGCUCCAUGCUGCCUGCAAACAAGUUAAAAGAGACUUCAAGCAGAUUGUCGAGGAUUAAGUUAGCAAGGAUUAAGUCAAGACCUUGUGCUAACAAAUUACACCUCAAGUUCCCAAAUGCUGGGAUUAUAAACCCACCACACCCAGCAGCCACUUCUUUGUACAUAGUAGGCUGUGGUGGCACAUAGCUACAGCACUCUGGUAGUAGAAGCAGGUGGACCAGAAGAUCAUCCUCAGAUGGCCAGCCUGUGAUACAUUAGACGCUGUCUUAAACUCAGUACUUAAAAGAUGGUCAACAGUUAUUUUUGUUGCUUAACUGUUUUAAUAUGGUAGGAUAGAAAAGGGGUUGGUUUUUGUUGGUUUUUGGAUCUUGGCCUGAUUGAACAUUCUGACAAUUUUCCAUAUUGAUUCAGAAAUGGUAGGGAUAAGGAAUUUCCUUUAUAUCUGUCACUCCAAAUCUUGAUGGAAGAAGGUUCUCUUAGGAGUUAAGACUGGUUAAAGGGUAAAUUUCUUUGCAAAAUUUUUUUCUAUUCUUUUAGAGUAUUUAUAUAUUACCAAUUGAAUGUUUUAAAAUUUGCUUUAUCUUUAUAUUUUUUGGCAAUACUUGAUAAUGCAGUGUUAUAUAUAUGCCUACCAAUUUCCUCCCCGC